AGUGAACGCUGGCGGCGUGCCUAAUACAUGCAAGUCGAACGGAGUGGCGCACGGGUGAGUAAUAUCUAGCUAAUCUGCCCCUUGCUGGAGGACAACAGUUAGAAAUGACUGCUAAUACUCCAUAGCAAGGGAUGGGACUAUAUCGUAUCAGCUAGUCGGUGGGGUAACGGCCAACCGAGGCUAUGACGCGUAACUGGUCUGAGAGGAUGAUCAGUCACAUGGGACAGGAGACACGGUCAAAAGUCCUACGGGAAGGAGCAGUAGGGAAUAGUGACCAAUGGGGGAAAGCCUAACGCAGCAACGAAGCGUAGAGGAUGACACUUUUCGAAGCGUAAGCUCCUGUUGUUAGGGAAGCGUUACCUAACGAAUAAGCACCGGCUAACUCCGUGCCAGCCGCCGCGGUAAUAC
rnacentral:rRNA from 1 species